rnacentral:rRNA from 1 species
GACGAACGCUGGCGGCGUGCUUAACACAUGCAAGUCGAACGGAAAGGCCCUGCUUUUGUGGGGUGCUCGAGUGGCGAACGGGUGAGUAACACGUGAGUAACCUGCCCUUGACUUUGGGAUAACUUCAGGAAACUGGGGCUAAUACCGGAUAGGAGCUCCUGCUGCAUGGUGGGGGUUGGAAAGUUUCGGCGGUUGGGGAUGGACUCGCGGCUUAUCAGCUUGUUGGUGGGGUAGUGGCUUACCAAGGCUUUGACGGGUAGCCGGCCUGAGAGGGUGACCGGCCACAUUGGUACUGAGAUACGGCCCAGACUCCUACGGGAGGCAGCAGGGGGGAAUAUUGCACAAUGGGCGGAAGCCUGAUGCAGCAACGCCGCGUGCGGGAUGACGGCCUUCGGGUUGUAAACCGCUUUCGCCUGUGACGAAGCGUGAGUGACGGUAAUGGGUAAAGAAGCACCGGCUAACUACGUG